rnacentral:rRNA from 1 species
GAUGAACGCUGGCGGCGUGCCUAAUACAUGCAAGUCGAGCGAACAGACGAGGAGCUUGCUCCUCUGACGUUAGCGGCGGACGGGUGAGUAACACGUGGAUAACCUACCUAUAAGACUGGGAUAACUUCGGGAAACCGGAGCUAAUACCGGAUAAUAUAUUGAACCGCAUGGUUCAAUAGUGAAAGACGGUUUUGCUGUCACUUAUAGAUGGAUCCGCGCCACAUUAGCUAGUUGGUAAGGUAACGGCUUACCAAGGCAACGAUGCGUAGCCGACCUUAGAGGGUGAUCGGCCACACUGGAACUGAGACACGGUCCAGACUCCUACGGGAGGCAGCAGUAGGGAAUCUUCCGCAAUGGGCGAAAGCCUGACGGAGCAACGCCGCGUGAGUGAUGAAGGUCUUCGGAUCGUAAAACUCUGUUAUUAGGGAAGAACAAAUGUGUAAGUAACUAUGCACGUCUUGACGGUACCUAAUCAGAAAGCCACGGCUAACUACGUG